CAGAAGCAUCGACAUUUCAAAACUGCAUCAUUUUAGAGUGGCAAGUCAUCUACGCUUCUUCUCUGCUCACUCCGCAGUUGGCUUACAGAGGAAAUUUGAGUAGGGAAAUUGCCUUGAGGUGUGUAGUGAAAUUGCCUUGAGGUUGAGCAGUUGUAUUUAGGAAGGCAAGGGGAAGGAACUAGGAAGCACAGAGAUGAAAGGAAGUUUCUCUUCUUGGCUGAUGCUGCCUUUACUUCUAACCGUGUGGACCAGUUCUAGUUGACCUGUUGAGUUCAGCUCUGAAAUGUUGAGUACAUUCAGAUCUGAAAGGUUGAAACAGGAUUGCAUGUCAUUGGCAUGAGCAUAUAAGCUUAAUCUUUAAGGAUCAUCUAUCCAUGAACCUCUCAUUCAUCAUGAAAACCAAUCUAACAUUCCCAGCCAAAGAACUAUAAAUAUCACACCACCCUACACCUUCUCUAUCCAUCACCAUUACUUUCCUACAACACAAAGAAACAGAGAUUUUUUCCUCUGCUUCUACCUUCUUUUCCCCUGUUUCUAAUUCUCCUCUGCUUCUCCCCUGUUUUUUCUAAUUCUCCUCUGCUUCUACGUUCGUACGUACAGGGGACUACUGCAUGCAUAAUAUAUAAUAUUGUCGGUGAGUUUUCAAAUAUCUGUACUGUAGCACCUCUUGCAAAAUUGAUCCUUUUGUGGGUUGCAUCAUAAUUCAAUCAGUGGAUAUUACGUCCUAAAUUGCGGGGUGCACCAUUGUCAAUAUAGAAGAUGGAACUCCUAGCCUGUCUUUGCAAGGGAGGCCGCAAAAAGAAACAAACCACUUCUUCAGUUCAGCAAGCUUGUCCUGAUGUGAAAAAAGCUCCCAAGGGCUCUAGAACCAAAGAUGGUGAUAUGUUUGUCUUUGCAGGAGCUACAGCAGCUGUUGUAGCCACUACAAGUGGUGGCUGUGGUGGUGGUUGUGGUGGCGGUGGAGGUUGUGGUGGCGGAGGUUGUGGAUGUUAAUGAAACCAUAGACAUGGAGGAUCUUUAGUAGACUAUACGAGUCAUUUUUCUCCUUUAGCAGACUAGCCAAUAAUACCUUUUGUGCCGACAAUAUUUUCUGUAACACACUACAUCAAUCAUAUAUUGAUUCUUUCUUUAUCUGUA